rnacentral:rRNA from 1 species
UACGUAGGGUGCAAGCGUUGUCCGGAAUUAUUGGGCGUAAAGGGCUCGUAGGCGGUCCGUCACGUCGGCUGUGAAAACCCGGGGCUCAACCCCGGGCCUGCAGUCGAUACGGGCGGACUAGAGUUCGGCAGGGGAGACUGGAAUUCCUGGUGUAGCGGUGAAAUGCGCAGAUAUCAGGAGGAACACCGGUGGCGAAGGCGGGUCCCUGGGCCGAUACUGGCGCUGAGGAGCGAAAGCGUGGGGAGCGAACGGG